GCGGCGUGCCUAAUACAUGCAAGUAGAACGCUGAAGGAGGAGCUUGCUUCUCCGGAUGAGUUGCGAACGGGUGAGUAACGCGUAGGUAACCUGCCUGGUAGCGGGGGAUAACUAUUGGAAACGAUAGCUAAUACCGCAUAACAGUAGAUAUUGCAUGAUAUCUGCUUGAAAGGUGCAAUUGCAUCACUACCAGAUGGACCUGCGUUGUAUUAGCUAGUUGGUGAGAUAACGGCUCACCAAGGCAACGAUACAUAGCCGACCUGAGAGGGUGAUCGGCCACACUGGGACUGAGACACGGCCCAGACUCCUACGGGAGGCAGCAGUAGGGAAUCUUCGGCAAUGGACGGAAGUCUGACCGAGCAACGCCGCGUGAGUGAAGAAGGUUUUCGGAUCGUAAAGCUCUGUUGUAAGAGAAGAACGAGUGUGAGAGUGGAAAGUUCACACUGUGACGGUAUCUUACCAGAAAGGGACGGCU
rnacentral:rRNA from 1 species